CUAUUAGAAAUAUAGUAUUAAAGAAGAAAACUGAUAUAUAAUUAUUAAUUAUAAAUAUAUAAGUAUAUAAAGAAACUAUUAUGGAAUUUAAGCUAUGUAUUAAAGAGAAUUAGUUAUGUAAAUAAGAUAAAAAUCUUAUAAAUAUAUAAACUCUAAGAGAAAUUCAAUACUAAACGAAGUGAAUUGAAAUAUCUUAGUAACUUCAGGAAAAGAAAUCAAAAGAGAUUCUAUGAAUAGCGUGAGCAAAAGUAGAGGAGCCUAAAAAGUAGAACGGUCUCAAAACUGUUUAAAUCUUGGGGAACCUUCCUCAAAGGCUAAAUAUAAUACAUAAGCGAUAGUGAAAAGUACCAUGAGGGAACAAAAAUAAAAAUAGUAGUUUUAUAAGCAGUUCGAUAAAAAGAACGUACCUUUUGCAUAAUGGGUCACCAAGUUAACAUUAGAUGCGAGCUGUAUUAGCAUGCGUAGUUAAACCGAAGGUUGAAAUAACGAAUAAGUGUCUAAAGUUAGACCCGAAGCCAGGUGAUUUUACCAUAGUCAGGAUUAUAAAAGUCCGAACGGGUGAUUGUAGCAAAAAUCUCCGAAGAACUGUGGUAGGUGUAGUGAAAGACAACACUGACUUGGAUAGCUGGUUUUCUGCGAAACCUAUAAUAGUAGGCAAUUUAAAUAAACAUCUUAGCAGGUACAGAAUUUAAUCUCAGACAAGGCGUUUUAUACGUUUUAUAUUGUACAAAUUGGGGGACCAUGAAGGUUUUAUCAGUGAGUAUGUAGACUCGGAAUGGUAAAGAUGUAUUUUGAAUGAUCAGACAUAGAAUGAUAAGGUUGUAUGUCGAAAGGGAGACAGCCCAGAACAAGAGUUAAGGUUCCUAAAUUAUUAGUUGAGUGAAAUUAAGAAGGUUUUUAUUAAAGUCGACAAGGAGAUAGGCUUAGAAGCAGCCAUAAUUUUAUGACCUCGUAACAGAGCGCUUGUUAAGUUAUAAAAGCAUCGAAAAUAUAACGGAUCUAAACAAUAUACCGAAACCUUGUCCAUUAUACAUUAUAACAAUAGUAUUAUUAUAAUUCAAUGGGGUAGCAGAACGUUGAGUUAAAUUAUGAAUUUUAUUUUUUAAAUAGAAUGAUAACGAUUUAACUCAAGUGAGAAUGGUGACAUGAGUAACUAAAAGAAAAUUUUCCGCCUUAAGCUUAUGGAUAUAUUUAAGUAACGGCCUCUAAGUUUAUAAUAUCUAAAGAUUUAAACGAUGAGAAAAUCUUUUUUACUAAGGACGACAUUUUAGUAUAAAAUGUACUGGAAAAAUAGUAAAUAUAUUUAUAGUUAGUUUCUAUAAAUGAAGAAUAACCGUACCUAGACUCUGAAACAAGUAAGCUAGUAGAGAAUACGAAGGCGUAAAUGAGCUAACAAUCAUAAAGGAACUCGGCAAAUUGACUACCGUAACUUCGGAAUAAGGAGGGCUCAUUAUUCUUGAUUAAUAUCAAGUAAAGAGGAAGAAGCAUGAAAUAAUGUUGUACGACUGUUUAAUUAAAACACAGCACUCUGCUGAAAGAUCAAAAAUCUAAGUAUAGAGUGUGAUAUCUGCCCGGUGCCGGCUGGUUAACAGAGAUAAUUGAAUAUACUACUAUUUGAUGUCGACGGAAACCCCGGUUAAAGGCGGCCUUAACGUGAGGGUCCUAAGGUAGCGAAAUGCCUUGGCCGUUAAAUGCGGUCUUGCAUGAAUGGUGUAACGAUACAACAGCUGUCUCUAUGAUUGACUCAGUGAAAUUGGAAUAGCAGUGCAGAUACUGCUUACCUCUAGUUAGACGAGAAGACCCUAUGCAGCUUUACUGUCACUAAUUAUAGAUUAUGAUAGACAAUUUUCAGAUUAUAAGGUAAUUGAUUUAUGACCAUGAGAAACCUUUAUUUUUCUUUCAUAUGAAUGAAUUGAUUUAGGAGUAUGAGUAGAUUGUAAUUUAUGUGGCUUUACUGAGCCAAUUUGUUAAAUUAUAGUCUGUAUGCUUAUACUAGUAAAUCAGCCUAAUUCAACUUACUAUAAUAAAUAUAGUAAGUACCCUUUGGUAAGGAACUAUCGCUAGGGGACAGUUUAUGUGGGGCACAGACCCUGUAAAGAGUAAACAGGAGUGUCUAAAAAUUUAUAAAUAUUUUGUUUGCUAUUAAGAAUAGUUGAACUAUUCUUAAUCAUAUACAAUUGAUUAUAUUUGCAUUUAUUGUAAAUAUAGUUAAAAUUAGGUAGGAUUUUCACUAUAUAGAAAUUAGAGAUAUUAAAGAUAUUAUGGAAACAUAAGCUUUUCGAAUAUUUUUUAGCUAUCUUAUAGAUAGUUAUGAUUAGAAUAUCUAAAAAGCUCAACGGCUUAAUCCUGCCUUACUGUUUGAUUAUCUACAAAUCUUACAGUUGCGUAAGCAGGGCAUAGGAUCACAAGAUGCAACAAGGAAAGAUCUUGGAUUAUUGGAAAAGCUACGCUAGGGAUAACAGGCUAAUUUGCGCAAGAGUGUACAAAAUGAGUGCGCGGUUUGGCACCUCGAUGUCGGCUUAACUUAUCCUCAUGGACGCAGGAACUAUGUAGGGUGCGACUGUUCGUCGAUUAAAAAGUUACAUGAGCUGGGUUAAAUACGUCGUGAGACAGUAUGGUUUCUAUCUUCUAGGGGGAAUUAGAAUAAAAUAAGAACUAACUUUUGUACGCAAGGAACAAGAAGAGUUUAACAUUGUUAAACUAUGGUUACUAACCUAUGGUUUACCUGUUGUUUAUGUGCCCAAAUAUUAAAUUUAUAUACUUUUAUAUAUAUUUCUGUAUUAUUUCGGUAAUACAUAGGGAUGUAUCUUUUACUAAGAUAAUGUAUAGCAUAAGCACGGCAGGAAAGCUAAGUUGGUUAAGGAUAAGUGCUGAAAGCAUAUAGGCACGAAGCUUAUCUUAAGAUAUUUCUUAAAUAUACGUAGCAUAAUACUACAAAUUUAUAGGCUUUAUCCGUAAGAAUCUAGAGAUUUUUAAGAUUAAAGUACUAAUUUAAUAAUUUACUAUUUAUACAUAUAUCA
rnacentral:rRNA from 1 species